UACAUCCUCUUUUAUCCUCCUUUUACUCAUUUUCCAUCUCUGUAGAACUGUAAGAAUAUCUCACAGGUAAUCAGUCCCCUUGAGUUCAGCGAAGUAGGUACUCUCAUUUAACAUUACUGGGCAUGGCCAGAACAUACAGGGUUAUUCGAAGUGAGAAUUGGCUCAAAUUCAAAGUUUAAGGCCAAAGUAGCUGAAUGGAAAGCAGACAUGGAGAAUGUUUCCAGUGCAGCUACUCUGGUCUUCCAUUUGAAAUUCACUUUGAAUUCCUGACAAGUAUCACUUUCGUGAAUAACCAUGCUACUGUUCAUAAAGGAUAAAGCCUUAGACAUUGGUACAGUUUACUACUUGGUACUGCCACUGUGCAGUAUUAAACUUUUUUUUUUUUUCUGUAGCCGAUUUAUUUUUUUUCUUCUUCCCACUGUCAAAUGUGACUUUAAUAUUUAUUCUAAAUCCUAACAGCAUGUAUAGUGAGGAGUCCAGCAUCCUGACCUGCAGUUUCAAAUUCUAUACACUGUCCCAUAUUAAACAGAUGGACUACUCCUGUCUCAUCUAUUUCAAAUUGCUGAUUUAUUGGGUCCCUAAUGAGCAAUAAGGAUUUUCUUAACUAUUGCGAUGGAAACAUUUAUAUGGUGUAGGUUUGUUUUAUAUUACCAAAUGAUGGCAUUCUGUGGUCUGUUCAGACUGGUUCUUCUUUUAUAUACAGUUUGAAUAUCAUCCUGAAUUGUAUUCUUGGCAAUGAGUGGAGUUUUAUAAAUAUACUUCUAAAUAUACUAUCUGCCAGUGACAGGGUUACGAAGUGGUGUGGUUUUUUUUAUUUAUUUAUUUUAUUAUUAUUUUUUGUGCUUUUAUUAUCAUGGUGAUCUUGUAAUACCCCAUAAUGUGUUUCUAGAUCUCUCAUGUCCUUGUAUAAUACAUUUAUUCCAAAUGUUUAAACGUGGAAUUUGUUAAUUAAUGCUGAAGCAAGGGAGAUCCUUUUUUAAAUCUUUUGAUGGAUGUUAAAAUACAUAUACAGGAAACCGUACCACUAAUGAUAUGAUGAGAUGGGCUGGUGAAAUGAAUGUGCAAUGUCAAUGAAGGAUAAAUAAGUGUGACUUCUUGGUCACAGUUGAGUUGGCACUCAGGACACAUCAAACUGAUGUGACUUAUGUUAAUAUUUAUAAGCUUGUAAAUAUGUAAAUGAUCCUCUAUUUAUAAUCCUGCUCCCACUUGUUUACAUGAAACCCAGCCCGAGGUGGUCACAGAAUGCUGAUUAACACUAUUGUUACACCCACAGCGCAGCUCUUCCUGGACAGGUUAAAACAUUAAUCAAGAAGCCUUACCGUUUUAAUAUGGAUAAAAAAAAAAAUCUAAAUAUUGUCCUAUUUAAAAAAAAAUGUUAAUGUCUAUAAAACUGUUUAAUCCUGUGCAAAGAGCUUACACAAAGACUUUGAGUGAACAUGUACAAAUAACCAUAAAAGAUGUGCUGAUGUUUUAACUUAUAAAAAUAAAAAAACUUAAGUGUCUAA